AGAGUUGAUCAUGGCUCAAGAACGAACGCUGGCGGCGCGUCUUAAGCAUGCAAGUCGAACGGCAAGAGGUAGCAAUACCUCCUAGAGUGGCGGACUGGUGAGUAACACGUGGGUGACAUACCCUUCAGAUGGGGAUAGCUAUUAGAAAUAGUAGAUAAUACCGAAUACGAGCACAGGGGUUAGAGAUCUGUGAGGAAAGGAGCUAAGGCUCCGCUGAAGGAAUGGCCUGCGGCCCAUUAGCUAGUUGGUGAGGUAAGAGCCCACCAAGGCGACGAUGGGUAUCCGGCCUUAGAGGGUGAACGGACACAUUGGGACUGAGAUACGGCCCAGACUCCUACGGGAGGCAGCAGCUAAGAAUAUUCCGCAAUGGACGAAAGUCUGACGGAGCGACGCCGCGUGGAUGAAGAAGGCCGGAAGGUUGUAAAAUCCUUUUGAAACUGAAGAAUAAGCGUUGUAGGGAAUGACAGCGUGGUGACAGUAGGUUUUGAAUAAGCAACGGCUAAUUACGUGCCAGCCGCAGC
rnacentral:rRNA from 1 species